UUAAUACAGUCAUCGAUCCGCUCAGAAUCUAAAAUAUUAGACUUGGAGUUUUAGAAAUAUAGUUGCUAUUAUAGUAUUUGAUGAAUUUAUUGCAUACGUUUAUGGCUUUAUGUUAACUCUAAAAUCCAGUAAUCACAUUUUUAUUUAAUAAUUCAUAAAAUACAAUAUGCUCUUAUAAAAAUAUUCUUGUGCUUCUGAUAUCUAUUUACCACCUUAAUCAAUAAUUAAAUUGAUAAACGAAAAUAAUAUUUUAAAUAAUACCUAUAUCAUAUUAUUAUAAUUCAAAUUCAAAAUUAUAAACUAUUUUGGUUGAUUAUCAUAUCAAAUUUCAAUGAACAAAUUAUUCCUUAUCACAGAACUCUUUGAUAUAAAAAGUUGCAUUAUAUUAUAUCCGUGGAUUCAUCAUAUUGACGUACCUAGUAUAAUAUCUAUCAUUUAUUUACUUAAUCUAUGGCAUAUCUUAAAGUCGUUGCAGAAGACACAGUCGAUUAAAAAUUCUAACAUUUCAAUAAGCAAAGAAGAUAUGAGCAAAAAACUUACUGCGUUUCGUAUAAUUUUAUUUUUCAUAAAUCACAAUAUUCUAAGUUCUGGCUGUAUUCUGGAGCGUUUCCUCAUGGGCGUCGCAGUUCACACACGUCACGGAUUCCGCCGAAGGAGUCGAUAAUUAAAACUGAACUUUUGGAUCGGAGAUAUGAAGACGCGCGCUGCAUUUUCCUUGGCGGAGAUGCACAGCUCUAACACUAGACAAUAUUAUACACUCGAAGGGAACGCGUUUCGCCGGAAGAAUAAAUAAUUACAUCAUAAAGAUACUAGUAUUGUAUACUAGAUAAGUUUCAAUUAGCGAGAUGUAGAGAAAGAUGGAGAUGGAGCGAGAUGUAGACGGAUGAAGAUAGCUCUUUCUUCGACGACAGCGUGUGCUGCAUUACAGCUAGGAUUCACUGGAAGAGUCGAUGUUUAUGCAAAUGGCAUUCGUCAGUGAACAUUUUCAAACUGGGAAUAAUAUAUCAUAAGCAGAUUGAAAUGUGUGAACGUUUCAGUGUUUCGAAGACUAAGUUUCGUAGCAGAUUUUGAUUCCGUCACGGGUUUUCACUUUACUCCUCAAAUUACCAACCAAAAACCAAAAAUGAGCGCUGAAAAAGUAACCAUGAACAUCGUCGUCGUCGGACAAGUCCAAUUAGCCAAGGCCAUCAAAUCGGUCGCCAAAUCCACCCCAAGCCACCCCAGCCACCAGCCAAUUGAUGACCUGUUAAUAACAUUCGUCAAGUCUCCAUAAAUCUCAAAUUCAAAAAUUCCAUAGUCCAAAACUCCAAACAGCACAUAUAUAAUGAUAAUAUGUUAUUUAUUGUGUGUUGACAUCGCAAAAUAAAUCUUCCUUUCUGUCACUCAA